AUUCGGCAUACAUAUUAUAUAAUCUUCUGUCCUACAAAGCUUAGAAAAGUCAACUUUUACUACUGCUUACCGGUUAAAACCCCCGGAUGUAAUAGGAGAACGUUAACGAGACGCUAACUGCUAUUUGUUUACGUUAGCGUGACGGCGUGGUUUUGUAACAGGGGAAAAAAGGGACUUAUGAAAGUUUAAAAUGCGGAUUGAUGAAGAGCAGAGAGACGCUGUAGGUCGACUAAAAGCUCCAUGACAGGUGAGAUGGCUCUGGUGCGGCGGGCGGUGAGUGAUGCAUUGUGGGCGAUGUGUGCGGCCGACUCCAUGUCCAUGCCGGUGCACUGGUACUACGACGUGGACGACAUCCAGCGGGACUUCGGAGGCUGGAUAUCAGACUUUAACUCUCCCAGAGACACACACCCAUCCAGCAUCCUCAGCCUCUCCAACACAGCCGGCAGCGGUCGGACCGCCGGGCCGUCCGGCGCCAGGCGCCCCGACGUGGUCGGGAACGUGAUCCUCCACGACAAGCUGGAGCUGUGGAGGUCCUCCAGAGGCUCCGCCCACUACCACCAAGGUCUCCGUGCCGGAGACAACACCCUCAACGUCCUCUGUUCCCUCCGUGCGGCUCGCUCGCUGGUCGCCGGGCGCUUCAGUGACCUCUCUCAGCCAGAGGCUCGCGCCGCCGUUCUGGCGGACUACGUCCACUUCCUGACCACGCCCGGCUCGCACCGCGACUCCUACGCCGAGUCCUCGCACCGCUCCUUCUUCUCCAGCUGGCAGGACGACCGGCCCACCGCGCCCUGGCAGGUUUUGGCGUUUGCAGAAGAACGCAGCAGGAAGGAGUUGAGCUCCUCGCCCCCUGACAGCCAGCUGGACGCCAUCGGCUGCCUUCCCAUGAUCCUCCCCUUCAUCCUGCUGUCCGCCUCGGCCAAUCAGGAGCAAGCUGUGGGUGACUCGUUAGCACACACAUUUGUCAUGCCGGAAACACACGCGGGAGCACACACACAGAGACACACACACAGAGACACACACACACACACACAGAGACACACACACAGAGACACACAGAGACACACACACAGAGACACACACACACACACACACACACAGAUAGACACACACAUACACACAAACACACACACACAUGCACGUUUGUUUCCCUAUCUUUGUGGGGACCUGUCAUUGACAUAA
rnacentral:lncRNA from 1 species